AACCCUAAACAAAAACACGCGUAGAUGGCUUCCUUCUCCUACAAUCUUCUUUCCUUUUGGUAAUAGGUAACUUUUUUUUCCUUUUAUUCUUCAUCUCUUUCGUUGUUACUCUUCCAUUUUGAUUCUCCUGUAUGAUUGAAGGAUGUUAGAAUCUAUACCCCUAACUCUUUGCCGUCUUCAACAUUAUCGAUUUCACCGGUACACAUUCAUUAUCGAUUUAUCAAACAUUUGCCUCAUCUUGACUGUCGUAUGACAAACCCUACCAUUGUCAUUAUCAUAUUUGGCGAUUUCAUCCACGUUUGACCUGGAUGUUGCUCGUGAUCUAACACCGUCGAAUCAACUGACAACUAUAACCAAUGGCGGAGCACGGUGGUUUUCUGAUUCAUGGAUCUGAAGAUAUGUCUAUGAAUCGGUUGGUUGGAUGAUUCUCAUGGAAGCACUUUUGUGCAAUCGGUUGUGACAAUCGCAAACAUUUUCGCCAUGAUUUUUGUGACUUUAGCCUGUGGAUAUCUAGGAUUCAAGAGCGGAUAGCCUGGCUAUAAACUUUCUACGGGAUACUUCCCGUAUGGAGUAGACGGGAUGCUUGCGGGUGCUUCGACAGUCUUCUUUUCAUAUAUAGAGUUUGAUUCAGUUGCCAGUACAGCAGAAGAGGUGAAAAAUCCUCAAAGGGAUUUACCUCUAUGAAGUGGGGCUGCAUUAUCUAUUUGCUACAUGUUAUACAUGUUAGUCUCCGCGGUUAUUGUUGGUUUAGUACCUUAUUAUGCAAUGGAUCCCGACACCCCUAUUUCUUCUGCAUUUGCUAGCCUUGGUAUUCAAUGGGCCACGGAUCUUGAUGGCUAUAGCUCGAGACGGUUUAUAGACGCAUGGCUGCACAUUUCUCAGCUCAGUCGACUACUCUACCCUACUUACAGAACAAAACAAAAGGAAUCUGGUGAGAAGGCGUGACCUAAGGUUAUGACGAGACUUCGGUUAACUCCGGCAAGAAAUCUGAAUUCCGGUGAAGCUUCGGUGACUUCUCCGGUUAUCGAUCUGAGUCUGCGUGUCAUAAAAUCUUAAAGAUCGGGGUAAUUUCGUCGUUAUGGGGUGGGAUAGUUUCUUAUCUUUCGUGUUUUCUGCCUGGGUUUCGACUAAACUGUGCUGCAGUCGAAGCCUCAAUGGGGGCUCAAUCUUGGAAUGAAUUUUGAAGUGGCCAGAUCAAAGUCUGCAAUUAUUCAAGCAUUCCCAUUCAGCUCAGAGAAAAAGCGAGGUGGUGUUGCCGUAAGACGGACUGAUUCUGAAGUUCAUGUUCACUGGAAAGGAGCUGUCGAAAUCAUGUUAGCUGCAUGUACAAGAUACAUGGACAGUAAUGAACAGCUUGUACCCCUAGAUGAAGGAACAGUAGGGUAUUUUAAAAAGGCGAUUGAAGAUAUGGCUCGUGGAAGUUUGCGGUGUGUUGCUAUUGCCUACCGACCACUGACCGCAAACACUGUGCCUACAUAUGAAGAAGAACUAACAUACUGGGAAUUGCCGGAAGUUGAUCUUGUUUUGCUAGCAAUAAUUGCUAGCACUUGAUCAAUGUGAGAUUGGAUUGAACAAAUUAGGUGUUGUUAGAGUUAAUGCUGAAGACAUUGCUCUUGCAGCUCAGGAAACUUUUAAUUUACAAACACACAAACGUAUCCAGUAAAAAGGUUGUAGCUUCUGAAGGCAUACGAGAGACCGGAGUAGUUGCAAGUUCUAGAGCUGUAGAAAUAUAUAGACUUGAUAUUCUAGCUCAAACGAUCCAGGUUUCACCUAAAUAUCAUCUUUCACAUAUGAAAGGGUUAUAUUAUAAGAUCACAUUCCCAUCAGUUUUUGAUCAUAUAUCUUCCCAUUUUUAUUUAAGUUAUUACCGUGUGCUACAAGUAACAUAUUACUAGAGAUGGCAAAAUGGGUGGGUCGGAUAGAUUGCAUAAUGGGUCAAAAUAAGGCACAAAACCCAUAAGACGAUAUUGUCUUUACAUUAGAAGAAGGGUCGGGUGUUGUUUAAACCAUUGCCGUGUUCGCUCUAAGGGAGAUCAACUUAUCAAAGAUCGAUAGCCGGCCGCAAAGGAAACGUCCGCUCAGGAUUGUUGAUGGCAGCAACAAGGGUAGCGCCUAGUGAGUGCAACUAUAGCCAGGUGGAAAUUUAAGAAUUUGAAAGUUCUUUUUUCUAACUCAUUUUUGACUUCCACGGAUACUUUGACUACCUAUUUUACAUUGACUUUGAAGCUUCGAUCGCGGAGCCUCGUGCCCAAUAUUAUCUAGGACAUCUACAGUCAUGGAUUGCAACUCUAUGAAGAGAAAUUGCAGGAGAAGAACGAUUGGAGUGUGGUUUGGUGAGGGAACAACCAUGGUGGGAGACAAGCCGCCACGGACAGUCACAACGACCAUCAUGGGAGCGAGAAUAACAAGAAUGGGUUCAAUAUCAUCCUCGCCAAUAUGAACGAGGUUGCAAUACUAGAAUAUAUACAUCUGUGUUAGUUGAAACUAUGGACCGUCAUUUUGGCAGUGUGGUCAAAUAAAAAAAAACAACUAAAAGGAAAAACAGGUCAAAUGGGUUGACAUGUAACAUAUUAGCGGAACCACCGCUUUUCUUUUCAUUCUAUUGGAUGUUUUGUUUCAACCUGAUGAAGUAGAAAGGCCUAAAGUCGUUUUGGACAUCUUCAUGGGACCCUCAAAAACCAAUGUCCUCCGGUGGAGAAACCAAUCAAGACAAGCUUGAAGCCAUAGAGAUAAGCUUCAAGAACUUCUGUCGACGAUAGGUAACUCCGACUCAAGGUUACCGAUUACAAAAUCCUGCUCAUAAACAGUGAUGCGGUGAGAAUAUCUGGUGGAAAUGCACAUUUAUCCACGGAUCAGGAGCGGGUGCUGUUGUCGGUGCUGUUAGAAGGGUUGCUGGAGCUGAUUUUAGGAAUGGUAAUGGUUGAUAUGUUGCUUGCUAUACAUACAGUUGCCAAGGUGUUGCUUGCUAUACAUACAAUUAUCCAACAAAGCUGAGAGAAGUCAUUCAUUCCUCAUGGUGAUCAAAAGAGAGACAAGUAAUUUUUUUUGUUAGAGGUUGUCUUGCAUUUAUACGGUGGAAAUAAAAGCCACAUGAGCCAGUAGGAGAGUUUUUCAGCUUCUUGAUUGUGUUUUUUUAAUGCUAGAAGCAUAAAAGAAAUGUCCUUUGGGGUUAGUUUUGUAAUUUAUGAUGUCAUUAGUCUUAUACUCAAAAGGAAGAGUAGGCUAUUUAAGCUACUUUUCUUAUAAUAUU
rnacentral:lncRNA from 1 species